rnacentral:rRNA from 1 species
ACAAAGUGUGUAGUAGUGGGGAUCGGAGUCUGCAACUCGGGCUUCGGGAAGUCGGAAUCGCUAGUAAUCGUGGAUCAGAAUGCCACGGUGAAUACGUUCCCGGGCAUUGUACACACCGCCCGUCCACACCCAUGGGAGUGGGUUGCAAAAGAAGUAGGUAGCUUAACCUUCGGGAGGGCGCUUACCCUUUGU